rnacentral:rRNA from 1 species
GUAGGGUGCAAGCGUUAAUCGGAAUUACUGGGCGUAAAGCGUCGGCAGGCGGUUUUGUAAGACAGGCGUGAAAUCCCCGGGCUCAACCUGGGAAUUGCGCUUGUGACUGCAAGGCUAGAGUACGGUAGAGGGGGGUAGAAUUCCGCGUGUAGCAGUGAAAUGCGUAGAUAUGCGGAGGAACACCGAUGGCGAAGGCAGCCCUCUGACCUGAUACUGACGCUCAUGCACGAAAGCGUGGGGAGCAAACAGGAUUAGAUACCCUGGUAGUCCACGCCCUAAACGAUGUCAACUGGUUGUUGGGAAUUUACUUUCUCAGUAACGAAGCUAACGCG